UCAAGAUAAAGACCUUUUUACUUAUCGAUGGUCAAAUAGGCAGCUCCAUUUCAGAACAGGAGGCCUUUCACGUAUGUGAAUUUGUUAUUGUGGCCCAGGCUGUCCUAAAAUGUUAUACUGGUGGUGAGAUCUUUUGACCAACAGCAGAGAGUGCAUCCAAUUUGAUUUAUGUUUACAGUAUAAUUCAUAUCUGUAAGUAGUUUUCAUUUUGUUUCUUUUGAGUGAGAUUCUUUCUACUUUGGCAUUUGAUCCCAAUUCAGAGAACAAGAACCCAGCUCACUUUACCGGGGUCAAAUGUUUGACAAUCAUUCCAUUUACUCUUUUCCAUAGAAACAGAAAGUCUGCAUCAUGUAUAUUGAUGGUUAGAGUUAGUAUUUAUUAUGCCAUUCUGAAAUGAUGUAGAUAGUUAGAGCUGGUAAGUGGACAGAAGAUAUCAACCUGGUACUGUAGUUGGUUUAUAGAGAAUAACAGCCUCCUUGUAUUCUAUCCUUCAGAGCCACCACUGUUCUGGGCUACUUGCCACAGGAACUAUUGGGGACAUCGUGUUAUGAGUACUUCCACCAGGAUGACCUGCAACACCUCGCAGAGACACACAGGAAAGGUAAUGGAGAAUAGUUUGGUUGUCUUUAAUAUCUAAGUAUGGGUGAGAUCCAUAUGUUCUCCAGAUGUGCAGGGUGCUCAAACAGAUAUGAAUGAUACUUUGGUUGUCUUACAGAAAAGGUUCUUACCUUUGUCGCAGGGUAAAAUGUUAAUUACACCAUAAUAACCUGUGCAUUACUUGUUUUUUGUUGGGGGGAUUCAUGAAUAAAACAAACACAUUGCAGUGACAGAAAUUGUGUUUUGUGUCUCAACAGUUCUCCGCAGUAAAGAGAAGCAAUGCACCCCCACAACAUGAUGCUGCCACCCCCGUACUUCACUGUUGGGAUGGUGUUCUUUGGCUUGCAAGUCUCCCCCUUUUUCCUCCAAACAUAACGAUGGUAAAUAUGGCCAAACAGUUCUAUUUUUGUUUCAUCAGACCAGAGGACAUUUCUCCAAAAAGUACAAUCUUUGUCCCCAUGUACAGUUGCAAACCGUAGUCUGGCUUUUUUAAGGCGGUUUUGGAGCAGUGUCUUCUUCCUUGCUGAGUGGCCUUUCAGGUUAUGUCGAUAUAGGACUCGUUUUACUGUGGAUAUAGAUACUUUUGUACCUGUUUCCUCCAGCACCUUCACAAGGUCUUUUGCUGUUCUGGGAUUGAUUUGCACUUUUUGUACCAAAGUACGUUCAUCUCUAGGAGACAGAACGCAUCUCCUUCCUGAGCGGUAUGGCGGCUGCGGGGUCCCAUGGUGUUUAUACUUGCGUACUAUUGAUUGUACAGAUGAACGUGGUACCUUCAGGCGUUUGGAAAUUUCUCGCAAGGAUGAACCAGACUUGUGGUCUACAAUUUGUUUUCUGAGGUUUUGGCAGAUUUGUUUGAUUUUCUGGGCUACUUGCCACAGGAACUAUUGGGGACAUCGUGUUAUGAGUACUUCCAUCAGGAUGACCUGCAACACCUCGCAGAGACACACAGGAAAGUUCUCCGCAGUAAAGAGAAGAUUGAGACCAGAAGCUACAAGUUCAAAACAAAACAUGGCUCCUUCGUCAUGCUUCAAAGUCAGUGGUUUAGUUUUAUAAACCCGUGGACCAAAGAAGUAGAGUUUAUUGUUUCUACCAACCGAGUUUUGUAAGUUCCUUUUCACAUUAGGUCUACAUUGUGGGUUGAACAAUCUAUAAUGAUAUUCGGUAAAAUACAUUUAAUUUAAUAAUCUGCUUCGAGUCAAGACAAGUUCAGUCAAAAUUGUCCCAUUUUGGACCCAAAAUGUAGCUGUUGUUCGAGAGUCCUCUGCGUUGUA
rnacentral:lncRNA from 8 species